GAUGAACGCUGGCGGCGUGCCUAAUACAUGCAAGUCGAGCGAACAGAUGAGGAGCUUGCUCCUCUGACGUUAGCGGCGGACGGGUGAGUAACACGUGGAUAACCUACCUAUAAGACUGGGAUAACUUCGGGAAACCGGAGCUAAUACCGGAUAAUAUAUUGAACCGCAUGGUUCAAUAGUGAAAGACGGUUUUGCUGUCACUUAUAGAUGGAUCCGCGCCGCAUUAGCUAGUUGGUAAGGUAACGGCUUACCAAGGCAACGAUGCGUAGCCGACCUGAGAGGGUGAUCGGCCACACUGGAACUGGGACACGGUCCAGACUCCUGCGAGAGGCAGCAGUAGGGAAUCUUCCGCGAUGGGCGAAGUCCUGACGGAGCAACGCCGCGUGAGUGAUGAAGGUAUUCGGAUCGUAAAACUCUGUUAUUAGGGAAGAACAAAUGUGUAAGUAACUAUGCACGUCUUGACGGUACCUGAUCAGAAAGCCACGGCUAACUACGUG
rnacentral:rRNA from 1 species